rnacentral:rRNA from 1 species
GUGAGGAAUAUUGGUCAAUGGGCGAGAGCCUGAACCAGCCAAGUCGCGUGAAGGAAGAAGGAUCUAUGGUUCGUAAACUUCUUUUGCAGGGGAAUAAAGUGCAGGACGUGUUCUGUUUUGUAUGUACCCUGAGAAUAAGGAUCGGCUAACUCCGUGCCAGCAGCCGCGGUAAUACGGAGGAUCCGAGCGUUAUCCGGAUUUAUUGGGUUUAAAGGGUGCGUAGGUGGUUUGAUAAGUCAGCGGUGAAAGUUUGCAGCUUAACUGUAAAAAUGCCGUUGAAACUGUCGGACUUGAGUGUAAAUGAGGUAGGCGGAAUGCGUGGUGUAGCGGUGAAAUGCAUAGAUAUCACGCAGAACUCCGAUUGCGAAGGCAGCUUACUAAGCUACAACUGACACUGAAGCACGAAAGCGUGGGGAUCAAACAGGAUUAGAAACCCCGGUAGUCC